CCUUCUAUAGCCCUGCGUCCCCCACCGCGACUCCCACCUCGGCCCCAAGUUCACUUUCAGCCUCCAGAGGCUCCGUGGCCUCCUCACCGUGCUACCCCGGCUCACCAUGCGAGCAAAAACACAUCCCGAGCCCUACGGUCGUGGGGCUUAAACUACGCUGGGGCGACAGGCCAGUGGACUUUGGCCGGUGCCGUGAGUGCUCUGAGGACCGGCCCAAGGAGCUGACGCCAAGUAAGGGAGGCCUCUGGUCUGGUCCUUGGGCCCCAGAGGCUCGCCUAGGGAAGCGAUAUUUGAGCUGAGCCUUGAGGGACUACGGGAGAAGUAAGUGGGUCUGAUGAGGUCGGUGGAUCCCCUCUAAACCUGAGAAGCUCUUUGAGGUCAAGGAUCCACGAAAGAGUUCUGCACUGUGCUUUGCUGAGAUAAGCACUGGGUUUUCAGUGAAACUGGAUUGGAUUCAAAUCUCACCUCUGCCUUCUGUGAAUCUGUGACCUGAGGAGCUACCUAGGUCAUACAGUGAUAAUGAAAAAUAUGAGGAUCAGAUAAUUAAGUCACUUUCUAGGAAGAAAAGGAGCCAAUGUUGGAGUCCUCAUUUAUCUGACUUUGUUCAUCUUAUUA